GACGAACGCUGGCGGCGUGCUUAACACAUGCAAGUCGAACGGAAAGGCCCUGCUUUUGUGGGGUGCUCGAGUGGCGAACGGGUGAGUAACACGUGAGUAACCUGCCCUUGACUUUGGGAUAACUUCAUGAAACUGGGGCUAAUACCGGAUAGGAGCUCCUGCUGCAUGGUGGGGGUUGGAAAGUUUCGGCGGUUGGGGAUGGACUCGCGGCUUAUCAGCUUGUUGGUGGGGUAGUGGCUUACCAAGGCUUUGACGGGUAGCCGGCCUGAGAGGGUGACCGGCCACAGUGGGACUGAGAUACGGCCCAGACUGCUACGGGAGGCAGCAGUGGGGAAUAUUGCACAAUGGGCGGAAGCCUGAUGCAGCAACGCCGCGUGCGGGAUGAAGGCCUUCGGGUUGUAAACCGCGUUCGCCUGUGACGAAGCGUGAGUGACGGUAAUGGGUAAAGAAGCACCGGCUAACUACGUG
rnacentral:rRNA from 1 species